GUGCUCUCUUUAAUAGUACAUAUACUCAGAUUGGAAUAAUACAGAGAUCAGCAGCCUCUGUAUAAGGAUGACAUGAAAAUUUGAAGUGUUUCAUAUUUUC
rnacentral:snRNA from 1 species